CCUACGGUAGGCAGCAGUGAGGAAUAUUGGUCAAUGGGCGAGAGCCUGAACCAGCCAAGCCGCGUGAGGGAAGAAGGUCCUAUGGAUUGUAAACCUCUUUUGCCGGGGAGCAAAAAGCGGUACGUGUACCGCAUCGAGAGUACCCGAAGAAAAAGCAUCGGCUAACUCCGUGCCAGCAGCCGCGGUAAUACGGAGGAUGCGAGCGUUAUCCGGAUUUAUUGGGUUUAAGGGGUGCGCAGGCGGCGAGUUAAGUCAGCGGUAAAAGUGCGGGGCUCAACCCCGACAAGCCGUUGAAACUGGCGGGCUAGAGUGGGAGAGAAGUAUGUGGAAUGCGUGGUGUAGCGGUGAAAUGCGUAGAUAUCGCGCAGAACCCCGAUUGCGAAGGCAGCAUACCGGCGCCCAACUGACGCUGAGGCACGAAAGCGUGGGUAUCGAACAGGAUUAGAUACCCGAGUAGUC
rnacentral:rRNA from 1 species